rnacentral:rRNA from 1 species
CCUACGGUGUGCUGCAGUGGGGAAUAUUGGGCAAUGGGCGCAAGCCUGACCCAGCAACGCCGCGUGAAGGAAGAAGGCUUUCGGGUUGUAAACUUCUUUUCUGGGGGACGAACAAAUGACGGUACCCCAGGAAUAAGCCACGGCUAACUACGUGCCAGCAGCCGCGGUAAUACGUAGGUGGCAAGCGUUAUCCGGAAUGACUGGGCGUAAAGGGUGCGUAGGUGGUUUGACAAGUUAGUAGCGCAACUCCGGAGCUCAACUUCGGAACUACUACUAAAACUGUUGGACGUGAGUGCAGGAGGGGCAAUCGGAAUUCCUAGUGUAGCGGUGGAAUGCGUAGAUAUUAGGAGGAACACCAGUGGCGAAGGCGGAUUGCUAGACUGUAACUGACACUGAGGCACGAAAGCGUGGGGAGCAAACAGGAUUAGAUACCCUUGUAGUC